rnacentral:rRNA from 1 species
GACGAACGCUGGCGGCGUGCUUAACACAUGCAAGUCGAACGAUGAAGCUGGAGCUUGCUCCGGUGGAUUAGUGGCGAACGGGUGAGUAACACGUGAGCAAUCUGCCCUUGACUCUGGGAUAACUGCGGGAAACUGUAGCUAAUACCGGAUAUGAGGCUCGAAGGCAUCUUCGGGUCUGGAAAGAAUUUCGGUCAAGGAUGAGCUCGCGGCCUAUCAGCUUGUUGGUGAGGUAAUGGCUCACCAAGGCGACGACGGGUAGACGGCCUGAGAGGGUGACCGGCCACACUGGGACUGAGACACGGCCCAGACGCCUACGGGAGGCAGCAGUGGGGAAUAUUGCACAAUGGGCGAAAGCCUGAUGCAGCAACGCCGCGUGAGGGAUGAAGGCCUUCGGGUUGUAAACCUCUUUUAGCAGGGAAGAAGCGAAAGUGACGGUACCUGCAGAAAAAGCACCGGCUACUACGUGCCAGCCGCCGCCGUAA